GAUGAACGCUAGCGGCAGGCCUAAUACAUGCAAGUCGAGGGGUAGAAGAGGCUUGCUUCUUUGAGACCGGCGCACGGGUGCGUAACGCGUAUGCAACCUACCUUCAUCUGGGGGAUAGCCCGGAGAAAUCCGGAUUAAUACCGCAUAAAAUCACAGGAUGGCAUUAACCAAAGAUCAAACAUUUAUGGGAUGGAGAUGGGCAUGCGUGUCAUUAGCUAGUUGGCGGGGUAACGGCCCACCAAGGCGACGAUGACUAGGGGAUCUGAGAGGAUGGCCCCCCACACUGGUACUGAGACACGGACCAGACUCCUACGGGAGGCAGCAGUAAGGAAUAUUGGUCAAUGGAGGCAACUCUGAACCAGCCAUGCCGCGUGCAGGAAGACUGCCCUAUGGGUUGUAAACUGCUUUUAUUCGGGAAUAAACCUUAUUACGUGUAAUAAGCUGAAUGUACCGAAGGAAUAAGGAUCGGCUAACUCCGUGCCAGCCGCCGCAGUAAUAC
rnacentral:rRNA from 1 species